rnacentral:lncRNA from 1 species
CGAGGGAGGCGAGCGCGGGCCGCUGGGAGCCAGGCAGCUGAGGCGGGGAGUCUAGCAUGUUCCUGGGGUUGCUGGCGGACGCGGGGGUGGGUGGAGACGAUCACGAUUGAGGAGGAGCACACAGGCGCACUCACCACCUUCCUCCUUCCCUUCCUCUUCCUCCCACCCCGCCCCCAGGGGGGCGGUACCCUGGUCCCUGGGGGAGGUCUGCACCCCCGGAGGGUGGCGGAAGGAGGGCUGGGGUUGGGGCGGCUGCAGUGGGUGGCGGACGCCGCGGGCCCCUCCCCCGCGCUCCCUUACUGCCUCCCCCUGCUCCCCGCCCCUCCUCCUCUCCAUCCUCCCCAUCCUCCUCCUCCUGGUCCCCGGCAGCGGCGGUUAGGGGAGCAGCCAGCGGCACCGGGGCCGCUCAGCCUUUGUCUCGGGCCGCCGAGCGCGCCGGGCCCAGCUCAGCAGGCCACGCGGGGACUGCGGAGGCUGCGAGGACUGGCAGUCACGGAAAAACGGGAGAGGAGCCGGCCCAGCGUCACCGCCGCCACUGUCACCAUCAUCACCAUCACCACCAUCACUGAUCGUCGCCCAUCCCACUAACCCGCCUCAUCCCCCAUCUCAUCUCCCCGUGCACUGCCAACUUUGUCAGACCAUUUCCUUUGCAUCGGGUAAUACUUGGACAGAACGAUCGCGAGUAAGCGCAGCUGCUGUGGGAUGCUCAUCUAACAGGCCACUGGGCUGCCUCGGUUUUCCUGUCAGGGAAAGGGGCCUGCGAUGCCGCCUCUGCAUAACUACUGAGGUGGCUCGGUGUCUGGAUGUUUAAUUGUGGUGCUAGAAGGGACUGAGACAUGUCUUACUUGUUAAUGACGAAAGUGACAUCAUAGAAAUUUCUUCAACAAACCAGAGAUUUGGGGCUUAUGACUCCAUCUCUUAUCUUUUAAGUGUCCAAGUAUUAAUAGCAAAUGAAAACUUAAAGAAACGGAACUUUGACCAAACUAUUGCAAAAAAAAAAAAAAAGGAAGCAAAAUCAAGUAUUUUGUAGGAAAAUUACUUCAGCUUGCUAAAGGCAGUGUCAUCCUGGGGUGGACAGCGUCCCUUUAGUGCCGCAUCUCUGGUGAAGCUCAUUAUUUUGGACAAAUAGCAUGUACGUACCCCCGGGUGCUUUUCACCCCACCCGAUGAAUGUUUUAAUUACUAGGUUUCAAAACUGCCUUUUGCCAGCUCAGCACAGAACAGUGGGGACAAGCAUAUUCCUAGAAUAAGCCUGAGCAUCCUUUGAAGACAGUAAGAUGCUAAGUCCAUUCUUUAUUUCCCCUGUUUUUACUGAAACGGGGACCCCCUCUUGGGUUGCCACAUGCUAUGGGGACAAUACGGGUUCCUUUUUAAGAUUCUAAAUCUUGCUAAUAAAAAAAUUAAGAAUGAACUCAGAGGGCAACUCGAGGACAGUUUUAUUUGAGUUUAUUUUAUUUGAACUCCAGGGCAGUCAAGGUGUAAAUCUCAGCAGUUUCCAGGAGGAGGAAGUCCCAGAAGAGGUAGAAAGAGGGCUCUCCUAUAUGACAGAAGUGGGUCUCAGGGACAGCAUCAGAGGAAAAGAGGGAGGAAGCCCAAAGUGUUCAGGGCUGCAUGCUGGGGCUUUUGGCAAGUAUCUGAAAGAAGGAAAUGGAUGAAAAAGAAAGGAAAAGGAAAAGUUUUGUAAGUUUUUGUCAGUAAUUCAGUAAAUCCGUAGCAGAGCUACACAGCCAAGAGUUUCCGGGAAGGACAAGGAAUAAUUAUUCCUCCCAUCCCUUUGGCAUGACUUAAGGUAAAUCUGCCUUCCUGAGAGAUGGUCUCUUUGGCAGCCCAGCUGAAUAAACUCUUGUAUUCUAGGUAGCUUGGAACCUUCGGUCUCCAUCCAAGGCCAGGGGUAGAUCCCACUCCUUUGACCAGGAGGAAAUAUCUUUUCUUUAAGGGCCUUGGCAUAUUCCUGACCCAGGCUACUAUAAUAUUCUGUCUUCUGAAGAGGUAGCGUUAGGUCUGUGAGGGUGGCCCUCAUGAUGUGGUUCACCUUGUAUCCCGCACCAAGUAGGAAAAACAGCAUUGUUAAAAAUAAUCUGGGGGGAUGAGAGUAGUCAGCGUGCCUUGUGUACAUGUGCAAAAUUGUCCAUGAACCAAUAUUUUUUUGUUUUGUUUUGGUUUGGUUUGGUUUUUCAAGACAGGGUUUCUAUGUGGCCUUAGAGGCUGUCCUGGAACUAGCUCUUGUAGACCAGGCCGCUCUCGAACUCACAGAGAUCCGCCUGCCUCUGCCUCCCGAGCGCUGGGAUUAAAGGCAUGCACCACCACUACCCGGCUUUGUUUUGUUUUUUGAGACCGGUUCCUCUGUGUAUCUCUGGCUAUCCUGGAACUCACUCUGCAGACUGAGCUGGCCUCAAACUCACAGAGAUCUGCCUGCCUCUGCCUCCUGAAUGCAGGGAUUAAAGGUGUGUACCACCAAUGCCCAACUUCCAUGGACAGAUUUUUAAACUCAUAAAAAAGAGAAAUAAUUUCAAGACAAAAAAUAAUACCAAUAAUGAAGAUCUAGCUGAGCAGCACUUGUCACUGGCAUAGUUGGAAAUACCUUCAAUGCUGAAGUAUAAUUAUGCUUCAUGGACUCAGGCCCUCCCCCAAUUUAUGGAAUGGGGUUUCAAGAAAGGUGUUUCUUGUUUAAAAAUGUUUCAGAUCCCUCAUUUAAGUGAGGCAAAAUCGGUCACACACAGUCACGUUUCAGAGUGGAAACUCCCUGACUGUGGUUUAAAUUGCAGCUCUCUGGGAAAGAUUCUGCAUCUUAAUGGAUUCUCAUGCCUUUGUCUGUAUUUUAGUAUUUGCUGCUGCUGUAACUAAAUGCCGUAGACAAGAUAUUUUAUAAACAAUGGGAAUUUUUUUAGUUUAUUUUUUUCUUUAUUUUUUUAAUUGAACUAUACAUUUGACCUCCUCCCCUUCCCUCCUCGCCUCUCCCUUUUGUAACAAGAAAAAUAAGAGACCUAGAGACUGAUAAUUGGGGUUCAAACUUAAAGCUGAAGAUUAGAAAAGCAAAGUAGCAGGCCACUAGCUCUUACCACUGCUUCUCUUCCAUGUGAUUGGAGAAUCCUGAAACUGAAUGUCUUCCUAUCCUCAGCGUGGCUGGAGAAUGAGUGCCUGAUACUGAGACCUUGCUCCUGUUUUGUAUACCUCCCUAGUGCUGGGAUUAAAGGCAUGUGAUCCCAAGUGUUAAGAGCAUCUUUGUGUGAGCUGUUUCUCUUUAGGACUGGAUCAAUCUUGUGUAGAUCUGGGUGGCCUUGGAUUUACAGAGAUCCCUCUACCUCUUAAUCCUGAGUCCUAGGAUUAACAGUGAGUACCACCACCUCCUAGCUUCUGGCUGCUGAGAUUAAAGAUGUGUGCCUGGCUUCUGUGACUUGUGGCUGACUUUGCUUUCUGAAUCCUCAGGCAAGCUUUAAUAAUAAAUCAUAAAUAAUAUAUCAGCACACUCCUUGCACCCUCCCCUUGCCCCCUCAUGCUCCAAAUUUACUCAGGAGAUCUUGUCUUUUUCCCCCUUCCUAGGUGAAUCCAUGUAUGUCUCUCUUAGGGUCCUCUUUGUUACCUAGGUUCUCUGAGGCUGUGGCCUGAAAGCUGGUUGUCC